rnacentral:lncRNA from 1 species
AAUGUUUGGACUCCAUAGUUCUGAAAUUCCACUAGUUUUUAGCUACCUUCUGAAUUCGUGUGCCAGGAGAGAUGCUCAGGAGGGUGUUUGCAGAGCACAGCUCAGCUGCCAUCCCCCAGACCUGUCCUUCCCACUUCAUACUAAGGAGCCGGUAUUUCUGCAGAUCGUGGUGCAAGCUGCCAUCUGGUGGAUGUUGCUGGAGAGCAGAUCAUUUAAGUAAAUGAAGACUAGACAUGGCAUACACAAACACCUUGCUCUGAGGCAGUCCAAAGGACUUGGGAGUCUCUUCUAUGUUUCUGCUUUGGAUGAAGUGCACCAGAAUCAAACACCAAACUUCCGAAAGUUCUCAGCUGCCUGCAUUGCCCACUGUAAUGUUUAUCAUCACCUUUACACCAGGAAUUGUACCCAUCACUUCUUUGAUAACAGGAUGGCAUCUGUAGUGCCUGAAAGGCAAUUGAACCAUUUUGUAAAUCAACUCGCAAUUCAAUAAUGAAUAUUUUUGUUCAUGGCAGACUGAUCAUGACAGAGUUUCAAGAGUAGUUAUUCAUAUUCAGUAGCCCUCCACAUUGUAAAAGCUACUGCAAACUCUCUGCAAAGCACCAGUGAAGCUGAGAAACUCACCAUGUAACCCAAUCAGAGAAAUGAAAGCAAUAAAGGAAUGAAGGAUAUGUUAUAAAUUGACCUG